GCCUUCGUGGUGUAACGUUAGCACAUUUUGCGCUAUUCCAGAGGCCCAGGUUCGAAUCCCGGCGACGGCG
rnacentral:tRNA from 1 species